GAAAUGCGAUAAGUAAUGUGAAUUGCAGAAUUCAGUGAAUCAUCGAAUCUUUGAACGCACAUUGCGCCCGCCAGUAUUCUGGCGGGCAUGCCUGUCCGAGCGUCAUUUCAACCAUCAAGCCCCCGGGCUUGUGUUGGGGACCUGCGGCUGCCCGCAGGCCCUGAAAACCAGUGGCGGGCUCGCUGUCACACCGAGCGUAGUAGCAAUCACCUCGCUCAGGGCGUGCUGCGGGUUCCGGCCGUUAAACAGCCUUACAAAACCCAAGAUUGACCUCGGAUCAGGUAGGAAGACCCGCUGAACUUAAGC
rnacentral:misc_RNA from 1 species